rnacentral:rRNA from 1 species
GACAGAGGUGCCAAGCGUUAGGCGGAAUCACUGGGCUUAAAGCGUGUGUAGGCGGAUGCCUAAGUACCUUGUGAAAUCCCACGGCUCAACCGUGGAACUGCUGGGUAUACUGGGUGUCUUGAGCCAGCUAGGGGCGAGCGGAACAGACGGUGGAGCGGUGAAAUGCGUAGAUAUCGUCUGGAACGCCGAAGGUGAAAACAGCUCGCUGGGGCUGCGCUGACGCUGAGACACGAAAGCCAGGGGAGCGAACGGG